UACGUAGGUGACAAGCGUUGUCCGGAUUUACUGGGCGUAAAGAGCGCGCAGGCGGUCGUUUCAAGUCGAGUGUGAAAGCCCCCGGCUCAACUGGGGAGGGUCAUCGAUACUGAUCGACUCGAAGGCAGGAGAGGGAAGUGGAAUUCCCGGUGUAGUGGUGAAAUGCGUAGAUAUCGGGAGGAACACCAGUGGCGAAGGCGACUACCUGGCCUGUUCUUGACGCUGAGGCGCGAAAGCUAGGGGAGCAAACAGG
rnacentral:rRNA from 1 species